rnacentral:rRNA from 1 species
GGAGCACGAAGGUUAGCUAAUCCUGGUCGGACAUCAGGAGGUUAGUGCAAUGGCAUAAGCUAGCUUGACUGCGAGCGUGACGGCGCGAGCAGGUGCGAAAGCAGGUCAUAGUGAUCCGGUGGUUCUGAAUGGAAGGGCCAUCGCUCAACGGAUAAAAGGUACUCCGGGGAUAACAGGCUGAUACCGCCCAAGAGUUCAUAUCGACGGCGGUGUUUGGCACCUCGAUGUCGGCUCAUCACAUCCUGGGGCUGAAGUAGGUCCCAAGGGUAUGGCUGUUCGCCAUUUAAAGUGGUACGCGAGCUGGGUUUAGAACGUCGUGAGACAGUUCGGUCCCUAUCUGCCGUGGGCGCUGGAGAAUUGAGGGGGGCUGCUCCUAGUACGAGAGGACCGGAGUGGACGCAUCACUGGUGUUCGGGUUGUCAUGCCAAUGGCACUGCCCGGUAGCUAAAUGCGGAAGAGAUAAGUGCUGAAAGCAUCUAAGCACGAAACUUGCCCCGAGAUGAGUUCUCCCUGAGACUU